rnacentral:rRNA from 1 species
GACGAACGCUGGCGGCGUGCUUAACACAUGCCAGUCGAACGGAAAGGCCCUGCUUGCAGGGUGCUCGAGUGGCGAACGGGUGAGUAACACGUGGGUGAUCUGCCCUGCACUUCGGGAUAAGCUUGGGAAACUGGGUCUAAUACCGGAUAGGAGCCAUCUUUAGUGUGGUGGUUGGAAAGUUUUUUCGGUGUAGGAUGAGCUCGCGGCCUAUCAGCUUGUUGGUGGGGUAAUGGCCUACCAAGGCGGCGACGGGUAGCCGGCCUGAGAGGGUGUACGGCCACAUUGGGACUGAGAUACGGCCCAGACUCCUACGGGAGGCAGCAGUGGGGAAUAUUGCACAAUGGGCGCAAGCCUGAUGCAGCGACGCCGCGUGGGGGAUGAAGGCCUUCGGGUUGUAAACUCCUUUCGCUAGGGACGAAGCUUUUUUGUGACGGUACCUAGAUAAGAAGCACCGGCUAACUACGUG